UAAUAUCCGGAUAUCAAGUUGAUGGAAGUCUCGGGUGGUCAUACACUUGUGUGACCCCUCCUCCUCUUCACAAUAUAACAUUCGGUCAAAUUAUCUCAUCAUGUCACCCACAAGGUUAAUCCGUUAACGUCUAUGACCAUAUUUGGACAUAUACUAGGAUCUCCUACCACUCUCACCAAAUAACAUAUCCUUCUCUAGUUGAGGCUGGAUAAGUAUUAGAGUAUUAGGAAAACCACCAACAACAGGACCCUCAACAUCAACUCGUACACUAACAUCAUGUUGUAAUAGAGUCUCUCCCCGAGACUCAUUAAAUACCAAAUUCUCAUAUCAUAGCAUUCACCUUAUACAGAAAUCACACAAUAUAUAUAUCACAAAAGUUAUAANCAAAUAAAUUCAUCACAAAAAUAGAUCAAGAUAAAGACUAGUAAUAAAAUAAUUUCAAAUACAACAAAGUCACAUAAAUUUAAACAAAAUAACAUUUAUUCACAUAAAAUUCAAUAUACAAAAUUUAAUGGAAUUAAAUAAAAUACGGUAAACACUUGAGGAAAUAAGAAGUUGAAUUCGGCAUAGCCAAUUAGACAACUUCUCAUUCUACCAAAAAUUGCAAGGAAAUAAAUAAACAUAAAGGAAAUAAAUAAAAUUGCAAAAGAAAUAAAGUAAAUAAAUAAAUGGAUGUAUUGGGGAAAUAAGAGGUUAAAUUCGGCAGAGCCAAUUAGACAACUUCUUAUCCUUCCAAAAUUGCAAGAAAAUAAAGAGGCAUAGAGUAAAUAAAUAAAAUAAAAAUAUUGGNNNNNNNNNNNNNNNNNNNNNNNNNNNNNNNNNNNNNNNNNNNNNNNNNNNNNNAAAUAAAUAAAAUAAAAACAUUGGGGAUAUAAGAAGUAAAUUCUUAUCCUUCCAAAAUUACAAGAAAGUAAAUCGGCAUAAAGUAAAUAAAUAAAAUAAAAAUAUUGGGGAUAUAAGAAUUAAAUUCUUAUCCUUCCAAUAUUGCAAGAAAAUAAAUAGGCAUAAAGUAAAUAAAUAAAAUAAAAAUAUUGGGGAUAUAAGAAUUAAAUUCUUAUCCUUCCAAAAUUACAAGAAAAUAAAUGUAAAUAAAUAAAAACGUAAAGAAAUAAUAAUAUAUUGGGGAAAUAAGAAGUUGAAUUCGGCAGAGCCCGUUAGACAACUUCUCAUCCUUCCAUAAUCAUAACAACAACAAAUGAUAAUCAUAAAUUAACACAACAAAAUAGAAUCAAUUCACAUAAUUAAUAGAUANAGGUAUCAUCACAGAAGCAAUUUCACAGUCAACACAUAAAUAAAAAUAAUAAUUCCAUAUAUCAAACAAGAACAUANAAAAAAAACACAAGGAUAGNUCCCCUUACCUCUAUCCCAGACUUAAUCUCUUGCUCAGAACUUGUUUUAGAAUCUUCCAGAGUCUCCNCUUUCCAACAGAAUUUCCUCUCACUAUCUCUUUCUCUCAAAAUUCUAAGAGUUUUUGGUGUAAAUUUUAGCCAUCCCCCUUAUGGCUAUUUAUAGUUAAAAAAUUUUACUAUUCAAAUUAUUUUUUUAAUAUUAUUUAUUGUUUUAAUAUUAUUUUAUUAAUAUUUUAAUCACCAAUUGUAAAACCACUUGCAAAUCUUAUCCUCUCCUUAAUUAUGCAACUUAGAGAAUCUUAUCCUCUCAUUAUUAUUAUUAUUAUUAUUUUUUUUACUAUUCACUAUUCACUUUUUACUAUUCACUUUUACUAUUCAAAAAUAUUAUCCUAAUGUCACAUGUUUAUUAUUAUUAUUAUUAUUAUUAUUAUUAUUUUCUUUAUAUUUUCUACCUUUAAUAUCAUUACUACAAAAAUUUAUAUUAUUUAUGAAAAUUUUUCCUGGACUUUACA
rnacentral:lncRNA from 1 species